UCUCUGUCGCUCAGCUUUCGACAUGAUUCUGAACAAUUCCACACAUUUAUGUUGUUGAGAUCAUUAGUUGAAAGCCGAAUGAUUCGAGC
rnacentral:pre_miRNA from 1 species